CCUACGGGAGGCUGCAGUGAGGAAUAUUGGUCAAUGGGCGCGAGCCUGAACCAGCCAAGCAGCGUGAAGGAUGACUGCCCUACGGGUUGUAAACUUCUUUUAUAAAGGAAUAAAGUGAGGCACGUGUGCCUCUUUGUAUGUACUUUACGAAUAAGGAUCGGCUAACUCCGUGCCAGCAGCCGCGGUAAUACGGAGGAUCCGAGCGUUAUCCGGAUUUAUUGGGUUUAAAGGGAGCGUAGAUGGGUUGUUAAGUCGGUUGUGAAAGUUUGCGGCUCAACCGGAAAAUUGCAAUUGAUACUGGCAGUCUUGAGUACAGUUGAGGUAGGCGGAAUUCGUGGUGUAGCAGUGAAAUGCUUAGAUAUCGCGAGGAACUCCGAUUGCGAAGGCAGCUUACUAAACUGCCACUGACAUUGAUGCUCGAAGGUGUGGGGAUCAAACGGGAUUAGAUACCCGUGUAGUC
rnacentral:rRNA from 1 species